AUCCAUUCCAUGUUUCAUAACUGGAAUAUACUGUAUACGUGGCAUAUUGAUAUUGCAUCCCAGUUUUGUAUUGACCAAAAUAGUGAUGGUUCCUUGAAUCUCCCUAAUAUAUGUUUUGUGAUCAAAGCGUUAACCACACACAGAUAGGAGGAAUGCAAUUCAAUACAAGUAUGGCAUGUUGAAACACGGGUGGAGGAUAGGUGUCAAUUGGACUGGG